CUUUUAGGGAUCAGACGGUUUACCCGGUCUGGGUGGGGAAAACGGUGAUAAAGGAGAGAGAGGUGAACAAGGAGUUGCAGGUGAAGCUGGGUUACCUGGACCUCUCGGACCAAAGGGUAUCCAAGGCGAUGCUGGUCCACCUGGAGCACUGGGUGCUCAAGGGGUGUCUGGUGUCACUGGAGUUAAAGGAGACAAAGGAGCUUCCGGAGAAAGGGGUGAACCAGGUUUAGACGGGUUCCCAGGGAAACCAGGUCUUCUAGGAAAGGGCGGCCCUAGGGGGCUGAUUGGUGCUCCUGGUGCAAGUGGAGUCAAAGGAGCAAAGG